rnacentral:rRNA from 1 species
UACGUAGGGGGCAAGCGUUGUCCGGAAUUAUUGGGCGUAAAGCGCGCGCAGGCGGCUAUCCAAGUCAGUGGUGAAAGCCCGGAGCUUAACUCCGGAACUGCCAUUGAAACUGUUUAGCUUGAGGACGAGAGAGGUGAGUGGAAUUCCCAGUGUAGAGGUGAAAUUCGUAGAUAUUGGGAAGAACACCGGUGGCGAAGGCGGCUCACUGGCUCGUUUCUGACGCUCAGGCGGCGACAGCGUGGGGAUCAAACAGG